rnacentral:rRNA from 1 species
CGGGGUGAUUCUGGUGGAAUGAGCGGCGGACGGGUGAGUAACACGUGGGCAACCUGCCUGUAAGACUGGGAUAACUUCGGGAAACCGGAGCUAAUACCGGAUAGUAUUUCCUUUCUCCUGAUUGGAAAUGGAAAGACGGUUUCGGCUGUCACUUACAGAUGGGCCCGCGGUGCAUUAGCUAGUUGGUGGGGUAAUGGCCCACCAAGGCGACGAUGCAUAGCCGACCUGAGAGGGUGAUCGGCCACACUGGGACUGAGACACGGCCCAGACUCCUACGGGAGGCAGCAGUAGGGAAUCUUCCGCAAUGGACGAAAGUCUGACGGAGCAACGCCGCGUGAGCGAUGAAGGCCUUCGGGUCGUAAAGCUCUGUUGUUAGGGAAGAACAAGUACGAGAGUAACUGCUCGUACCUUGACGGUACCUAACCAGAAAGCCCCGGCUAACUACGUGCCAGCAGCCGCGGUAAUACGUAGGGGGCAAGCGUUGUCCGGAAUUAUUGGGCGUAAAGGGCUCGUAGGCGGUUUCUUAAGUCUGAUGUGAAAGCCCACAGCUCAACUGUGGAGGGUCAUUGGAAACUGGGGAACUUGAGUGCAGAAGAGGAGAGUGGAAUUCCACGUGUAGCGGUGAAAUGCGUAGAUAUGUGGAGGAACACCAGUGGCGAA